GAUGAACGCUGGCGGCGUGCUUAACACAUGCAAGUCGAACGGUGAAGGCGGAGCUUGCUCUGCUGUAUCAGUGGCGAACGGGUGAGUAACACGUGAGCAAUCUGCCCCUGACUCUGGGAUAAGCGCUGGAAACGGCGUCUAAUAAUGGAUACGAGCUGCGCAGGCAUCUUCAGCAGCUGGAAAGAACUUCGGUCAGGGAUGGGCGCGCGGCCUAUCAGCUUGUUGGUGGGGUAACGGCUCACCAAGGCGUCGACGGGUAGCCGGCCUGAGAGGGUGACCGGCCACACUGGGACUGAGACACGGCCCAGACUCCUACGGGAGGCAGCAGUGGGGAAUAUUGCACAAUGGGCGAAAGCCUGAUGCAGCAACGCCGCGUGAGGGACGACGGCCUUCGGGUUGUAAACCUCUUUUAGCAGGGAAGAAGCGAAAGUGACGGUACCUGCAGAAAAAGCGCCGGCUAACUACGUG
rnacentral:rRNA from 1 species